GGGCGUGUAGCCUAGCUUGGACAUGGCGACAGCCUCCUAAGCUGUAGAUCAGGGGUUCAAAUCCCCUCACGCCCG
rnacentral:tRNA from 1 species